rnacentral:rRNA from 1 species
AUUGAACGCUGGCGGCAGGCUUAACACAUGCAAGUCGAACGAGUGGCGGACGGGUGAGUAAUGCUUGGGAAACUAGCUUAUGGAGGGGGAUAACUACGGGAAAAGGUAGCUAAUACCGCGUACCAUAGGAGGUGCACAAGGGGGAUUAGGUAGUUGGUGAGGUAAAGGCUCACGAAGCCGACGAUCUCUAGCGGGUCUGAGAGGAUGACCGGCCACACUGUGAAUGGGACACGGCCGAGACUCCUACGGGAGGCAGCAGUGGGGAAUAUGGCGCAGUGGGGGCAACCUGACGCAGCCAUGCGGGGUGGAUGAUGAGGGCCUUCGGGUUGUGAGGUUCUAUCGGUAGCGAGGGGUUAACUACAGAAGAAGCGCCGGCUAACUCCGUGCCAGCCGCCGCGGUAAUAC